rnacentral:rRNA from 1 species
CAGCAGUGGGGAAUAUUGGACAAUGGGCGCAAGCCUGAUCCAGCAAUGCCGCGUGAGUGAUGAAGGCCUUCGGGUCGUAAAGCUCUUUUACCAGGGAUGAUAAUGACAGUACCUGGAGAAUAAGCUCCGGCUAACUCCGUGCCAGCAGCCGGGGUAAUACGGAGGGAGCUAGCGUUGUUCGGAAUUUCUGGGCGUAAAGCUCAUCUAGGGGGCGACUCAAGUCAGAGGUGAAAGCCCGGGGCUCAACCCCGGAACUGCCUUUGAAAAUUGGAUGCUAGAAUUUUGGAGAGGGCAGGGGAAUUCCGAGUGUAGAGGUGAAAUUCGUAGAUAUUCGGAAGAACCACCAGUGGCGAAGGCGACUGCCUGGACAAGUAUCGACGCUGAGGCGCGAAAAGCGUGGGGAGCAAAACAGGAUUAGAUACCCUGGUAGUCCCCCCCCUAAACGAUGAUAACUAGCUGUCCGGGCAC